ACCCCGAGAAGUUGGACUUCUCACAGAGCAACGAGUGUCCUAGCGCCCCUCGCAGCUUGCCUGACGGGCCAUAGGUACAACCGGCCUUCCACGAGCUUGGCCCGCCCGCCCUGCUCUCCGCCCCGCCGUUCCCUCCGACUCCCCGCUUCGCUUCGCCACGCCCCCUGUCCGUGCCCUUCCCGCCACUCCCACGGUCAUGCGCAAUGACGCCAGGUCGCCACCGUUGGGGCUGACGCCCAGGUGGGGGUGGAGCUAACGACACUAACGGUCCUGGCUGUUGCUGAGGCUGCUUGGAACCCAAGCGAAAGCUCCGUGGCUGAUACUGGAAACCAUGAAUUCACUGGCGACAGUGGAAAUACCGGGGCCUGCGUAGGUGGAACUUGGGUUUUCAAAGUCCCCUCUCCCGCCCUCCCCUCCCUCCCUCAGGGCUGCCGGGAUCCUCGCUCUGGACCCCGCGCUCGGGCUCACUGCAGAGCGCCCCGGGGACCUCGCCCGGCUGAACCGUCCACACCUUGCUCGGGCCCCUUGGAAGGACUGUUGCCACGUUGUCACAGGAGAAGACGUCACAUGGACAGCCCUAAUUCCCGCGUUACACAGACAGAAACUCGGUGCCCCUGGAGGAUGCAGAACAGCAGAAAGUCUGUGGUCCAACUUUCUGGAGCAUCCAUUUUACUACGAGACUUGGAAGAAAGAAAGUUAGGUAAUUUCUGAGGGAAAUCCUUUCAGGCUACGUCCCCGAGUUCUGGAGUCCUGUGUCUGUGAUGAUUCUUUGCCAACAUCUGAGUACAAACAUGCCCUAAGGUUGUGAUCAACUGGGCUGAGAGAGAGUGAGCUGAACUGCCUGGUGUCCGAGUAGCCAAUUAAACUAACAAACCAAAAAUAAAGGAAUUAAACCCUUACCCGCUUACGGUGAUGGUAUAAGCAAGAGACUGAAACUGGAGAAAAUAU